rnacentral:lncRNA from 1 species
CUUGAAAAUAAGGUAAUUUUGGAAGUUACAAGAAAACAGUACUACUAGGUAAGAUCUUUUCAGCCACCAAACUAGCACUAGGCUCAGGCGUUAACCUGAGUGUGCAUUGAAUACUUAGGGUGCUAGUCAGGAAGAAUUUGUCACUGAAUGUCCUUUGAGUUAGUGCAGAUUCAAGAUGGAGGUGAAAGCAGUUCAGAAUGCUAGUUCCAUAACUAAGCCACAUCUUCCUAGGGCAGUUCUCUGUAUGUUGCUCAUGCACAUGAAGAAACAAAUUAGUGAAUUUGCUCUUAAAAGUCCACUCAUAACAAGCAUGGGCAGAUGUGAAAGUUGAAGGAAACUUUAUUCCUCCUUGAGAACAAAAAAUUCAUUCUCUCCAACCUUAAUAUCUCAAAAUAAGACCUCUCUAAAGUAAGAGCUUUUAAACCAAGUGCUAAGGUACAUAUAUAUGUUUAUAGUCCUGACUACCACCUGAGGAUUACUGGAAGUUGAGUUCACCCUAGGAAUGUAAAAAGAUCUUACCUCAAAGAAAAAGAAUAAAUGCCAACAAACAUGCAUCUUAAUGUCA